UCUGCUUGGCGACCCUACCCUCCGCCCGCUGGCCCUUCGCUCGGCCACCCCGAACUCGCCAAGGCCUGUCCUUUUCCUCCUGUCCUUUCCCUGUCUCGGGCCGGACCGGGCCGAGCCGGGCCGCCAGGGCGCGGUCCCUGACCAUGGCGUCCCUCUUCAAGAAGAAAACCGUGGAUGAUGUAAUAAAGGAACAGAAUCGAGAGUUACGUGGUACACAGAGGGCUAUAAUCAGAGAUCGAGCAGCUUUAGAGAAACAAGAAAAACAGCUGGAAUUAGAAAUUAAGAAAAUGGCCAAGAUUGGUAAUAAAGAAGCUUGUCGAGUUUAGCCAAACAGCUUGUACAUCUACGAAAACAGAAAACAAGAACUUUUGCUGUAAGUUCAAAAGUUACUUCUAUGUCAACACAAACAAAAGUGAUGAAUUCCCAGAUGAAGAUGGCUGGAGCAAUGUCUACCACAGCAAAAACAAUGCAGGCAGUUAACAAGAAGAUGGACCCGCAAAAGACAUUACAAACAAUGCAGAAUUUCCAGAAGGAAAACAUGAAAAUGGAAAUGACUGAAGAAAUGAUCAACGAUACGCUUGAUGACAUCUUUGAGGGCUCUGAUGAUGAAGAAGAAAGCCAGGAUAUUGUGAAUCAAGUCCUAGAUGAAAUUGGAAUUGAAAUCUCUGGAAAGAUGGCCAAAGCUCCGUCAGCUGCUCGAAGCUUAUUACCAUCUGCCUCUACUUCAAAGGCUACAAUCUCCGAUGAAGAGAUUGAAAGGCAACUCAAAGCUUUAGGAGUAGAUUAGUAAAAAAAAAAAAAAGUCAUAAUAUUAUGCUUAUGUAGUAUAAACCAGGCACAGUGCAGAUUCCUUUUCAAAACCAUUUAUUU